rnacentral:rRNA from 1 species
AACAUAGGGGGCGAGCGUUAUCCGGAAUUAUUGGGCGUAAAGAGUACGUAGGCGGCCUGUUAAGUCUGAUGUGAAAUCCCGCGGCUUAACCGCGGAGGGUCAUUGGAAACUGGCAGGCUUGAGUACGGCAGGGGUAAGUGGAAUUCCAAGUGGAGCGGUGAAAUGCGUAGAUAUUUGGAGGAACACCAGUGGCGAAGGCGGCUUACUGGGCCGGAACUGACGCUGAGGUACGAAAGCGUGGGGAGCAAAC